UUCAUUCUUAUCAUCUCGUGUUUGUUGGUUUCAUACCAAGUUUAAUUAUGAAUAGACAACUUACUUUUUGGCUUUCUAAGUAAGCAUUUAUUUUUCAAUCUUCAGGCAAAAGCAGCAUGUGUAUUGAUUGAUUUAUGCUUUGGACCAUUAUCACCAUGGAUAUAUACAAUUACUGCAAAGGUUUCAUCUUUUUCCAUAAUAAGUCUACAUAUUAAGUCAACAACUUGUAUUUUUGUAACUGCAUUGACCCUUUUUCAUGUUGAUCUUGCAAUUGAACUUCUGGAGGACCUCUUGGUGUUAUUCAAUGUACUCCUUUUUGUUUUGGGGCCACAUAUGCCAUUUCCUUCAGAUAUUGACCUUUGCAAAUGUUCAUUUCCUAAGGUGGCUGAUCAAGAGUCUUUAGCUGUUUCUUCUAACUUUGUGAUAUGUUCUCAUGGGGCUUCUAGCACAUCCAGUAAUCCGGAUGAAGCAAAGAGAAAGAUUGAUGCAUCUAAAGCUGCCACAAGAAAAGAUGUACUCCAAGAUGCUAAUCUGUAGUUUGCUCCUAGAGAUCUGUCAAAAAUUGUUCUGACAAGUGUUUCAAAUUAUUUUACUGGGGACUGGAUCAGAUUGAAUUUCAGUUGUGGUGUUUCAGAGGUGAAUAAGAUUUCAAAUAACAACUUUCAGAAUAUUGGUUUCUUUGCUGAUUACUUGUAUUCACAAGCAGAUUAUCUACAACUUGUAAACUAUCAAGAUUCGGUAUAUAGGGCUUCCCAAUUUGAACAUUUGGCAGCUGAUUUGUGUUCCCAGCAUGACAACCCCAGAAAGCCAUGAAGCUGCAAUAGAAUCCAUACUCUUGGCUGCAGAAUGUUAUGCCAACUCAUUCUUUAUAAUCGAUUUCAUAUGGAUGCAAUUCAGAGCUUAUGAAUCAGAUGAAAAUCAUUGGAUCCAAAUUCAUGAAUAAAAAUGGAUUAGUGGUGUUUUAUGAAGACCUUAAGAGAUGUAAUGUCAAUCUGGAGACAAUAGCUUAUCUUGAAAGUAAAAGAGAUAUAACUGUUCUACAAAUUCUGCUUCCGCUAAACUGGACCUCGAAUCUGAGAGAAUUUUGGCUCUUUGGAAACCUUGUACAUAUUAUUUUGAAGAUAAUCAGUAGGCUUUAGAAAUAUCACAAGUCGACAUUGAAUCUGAUGUGGCAACUUUGAUUAGGCAGAAUCAACCAUUGCUUUGCCACUUUGUAAUCCUCCUACAGAGUCUCCCCUCUUUCUACUGCAUUCUGCAACUGAGUUAUCCUGUUCUGUAGAGAAUGUUAAUGACAUUAUACUGCAGUCAGCUGCAAAUCUUAGUGGACAACUUACAAUUUUGUACACCCAACUGAAAGCAGGCAACAUACAACUUGAAAUGGUAAAGUUACAUGGGCUGCCAAGGUGCUGGGCACUUCUUGAAGGAUUAAUCUGGAAAUGAUGAACGGACAUAUCCCAUUGGUAUCAAAAGUGCUGGUUUCAUCUACAGAACUUUAGUUCCACAUUUAUCAUGGAUGCAGAAAAUAUCUAGAUUUUCAA